AGAGUUUGAUCCUGGCUCAGGAUGAACGCUGGCGGCGUGCCUAAUACAUGCAAGUCGAACGCAUAUCUUCGGAUAUGAGUGGCGAACGGGUGAGUAAUACAUAAGUAACCUGGCCUUAAGAGGGGGAUAACUAUUAGAAAUGAUAGCUAAGACCGCAUAGGUAUGAAGAUCGCAUGAUCGACAUAUUAAAUAUCCCAAGGGAUAGCUGAAGGAUGGACUUAUGGCGCAUUAGCUAGUUGGUAGGGUAACGGCCUACCAAGGCGACGAUGCGUAGCCGACCUGAGAGGGUGGACGGCCACACUGGGACUGAGACACGGCCCAGACUCCUACGGGAGGCAGCAGUAGGGAAUUUUCGGCAAUGGGGGGAACCCUGACCGAGCAACGCCGCGUGAGGGAGGAAGUAUUUCGGUAUGUAAACCUCUGUUAUAAAGGAAGAACGGUGCAUGUAGGGAAUGACAUGCAAGUGACGGUACUUUAUGAGGAAGCCACGGCUAACUACGUGCCAGCAGCCGCGGUAAUACGUAGGUGGCGAGCGUUAUCCGGAAUUAUUGGGCGUAAAGAGGGAGCAGGCGGCAGCUAAGGUCUGCGGUGAAAGCCCGAAGCUAAACUUCGGUAAGCCGUGGAAACCGAGCAGCUAGAGUGCAGUAGAGGAUCGUGGAAUUCCAUGUGUAGCGGUGAAAUGCGUAGAUAUAUGGAGGAACACCAGUGGCGAAGGCGACGAUCUGGGCUGCAACUGACGCUCAGUCCCGAAAGCGUGGGGAGCAAAUAGGAUUAGAUACCCUAGUAGUCCACGCCGUAAACGAUGAGUACUAAGUGUUGGGGGUCAAACCUCAGUGCUGCAGUUAACGCAAUAAGUACUCCGCCUGAGUAGUACGUUCGCAAGAAUGAAACUCAAAGGAAUUGACGGGGGCCCGCACAAGCGGUGGAGCAUGUGGUUUAAUUCGAAGCAACGCGAAGAACCUUACCAGGUCUUGACAUCGAUCUAAAGGAACCAGAGAUGGAUAGAUAGUUAUAGAGAAGACAGGUGGUGCAUGGUUGUCGUCAGCUCGUGUCGUGAGAUGUUGGGUUAAGUCCCGCAACGAGCGCAACCCUUGUCGUUAGUUACCAGCAGUAAGAUGGGGACUCUAGCGAGACUGCCUCUGCAAGGAGGAGGAAGGCGGGGAUGACGUCAAAUCAUCAUGCCCCUUAUGACCUGGGCUACACACGUGCUACAAUGGACGGAUCAAAGGGAAGCGAAGCCGCGAGGUGAAGCGAAACUCAAAAACCCGUUCUCAGUUCGGACUGCAGUCUGCAACUCGACUGCACGAAGUUGGAAUCGCUAGUAAUCGCGAAUCAGAAUGUCGCGGUGAAUACGUUCUCGGGCCUUGCACUCACCGCCCGUCA
rnacentral:rRNA from 1 species